GACGAACGCUGGCGGCGUGCUUAACACAUGCAAGUCGAACGGAAAGGCCCUGCUUUUGUGGGGUGCUCGAGUGGCGAACGGGUGAGUAACACGUGAGUAACCUGCCCUUGACUUUGGGAUACUUCAGGAAACUGGGGCUAAUACCGGAUAGGAGCUCCUGCUGCAUGGUGGGGGUUGGAAAGGUUCGGCGGUUGGGGAUGGACUCGCGGCUUAUCAGCUUGUUGGUGGGGUAGUGGCUUACCAAGGCUUUGACGGGUAGCCGGCCUGAGAGGGUGACCGGCCACAUUGGGACUGAGAUACGGCCCAGACUCCUACGGGAGGCAGCAGUGGGGAAUAUUGCACAAUGGGCGGAAGCCUGAUGCAGCAACGCCGCGUGCGGGAUGACGGCCUUCGGGUUGUAAACCGCUUUCGCCUGUGACGAAGCGUGAGUGACGGUAAUGGGUAAAGAAGCACCGGCUAACUACGUG
rnacentral:rRNA from 1 species